rnacentral:rRNA from 1 species
UAGCGGCGGACGGGUGAGUAACGCGUGAGCAACCUGCCUUCCAGUGGGGAAUAACGCACCGAAAGGUGUGCUAAUACCGCAUGAGACCACAAUGGGGAAUCCCAUAGGGGUCAAAGGAUUUAUUCGCUGGAAGAUGGGCUCGCGUCUGAUUAGCUAGUUGGUGAGGUAACGGCCCACCAAGGCGACGAUCAGUAGCCGACCUGAGAGGGUGAUCGGCCACAUUGGAACUGAGAAACGGUCCAAACUCCUACGGGAGGCAGCAGUGGGGAAUAUUGCGCAAUGGGGGGAACCCUGACGCAGCAACGCCGCGUUGAGGAAGACGGUUUUCGGAUUGUAAACUCAUGUCUGAUGGGAAGAUAAUGACGGUACCAUCGGAGGAAGUCACGGCUAACUACGUGCCAGCAGCCGCGGUAAUACGUAGGUGGCAAGCGUUGUCCGGAAUUACUGGGUGUAAAGGGCGCGUAGACGGGUAAAUAAGUUAGAUGUGAAAUACCGGGGCUCAACUCCGGGGCUGCAUUUAAAACUGUUUAUCUUGAGUGCAGGAGAGGGAAGCGGAAUUCCUAGUGUAGCGGUGAAAUGCGUAGAUAUUAGGAGGAACACCAGUGGCGAAGGCGGCUUUCUGGACUGUAACUGACGUUGAGGCGCGAAAGCGUGGGUAGCAAACAGGAUUAGAUACCCUGGUAGUCCACGCUGUAAACGAUGAUUACUAGGUGUAGGAGGUAUCGACUCCUUCUGUGCCGGAGUUAACACAAUAAGUAAUCCACCUGGGGAGUACGACCGCAAGGUUGAAACUCAAAGGAAUUGACGGGGGCCCGCACAAGCAGUGGAUUAUGUGGUUUAAUUCGACGCAACGCGAAGAACCUUACCAGGAUUUGACAUCCUACUAACGAAGCAGAGAUGCAUUAGGUGCCCUUCGGGGAAAGUAGAGACAGGUGGUGCAUGGUUGUCGUCAGCUCGUGUCGUGAGAUGUUGGGUUAAGUCCCGCAACGAGCGCAACCCCUAUUGUUAGUUGCUACGCAAGAGCACUCUAGCGAGACUGCCGUUGACAAAACGGAGGAAGGCGGGGACGACGUCAAAUCAUCAUGCCCCUUAUGUCCUGGGCUACACACGUAAUACAAUGGCGAUCAACAGAGGGAAGCAAGACAGUGAUGUGGAGCAAAUCCCUAAAAAUCGUCUCAGUUCGGAUUGCAGGCUGCAACUCGCCUGCAUGAAGCUGGAAUUGCUAGUAAUCGCGGAUCAGCAUGCCGCGGUGAAUACGUUCCCGGGCCUUGCACUCACCGCCCGUCA